AUUGAACGCUGGCGGCAGGCCUAACACAUGCAAGUCGAGCGAGCGGCGGAAGGGUGAGUAAUGUAUGGGGACUGCCCGAUAGAGGGGGAUAACUACUGGAAACGGUGGCUAAUACCGAAUAAUGUCGGAUAACCCAUAUGGGAUUAGCUAGUAGGUAAGGUAAUGGCUUACCUAGGCGACGAUCCCUAGCGGGUCUGAGCGGAUGAUCAGCCACACUGUGAGUGAGACACGGCCCAGAUUCAUACGGAGGCAGCAUUGGGGAAUAUUGCACAAUGGGCGCAAGCCUUAUACAGCCAUGCCGCGUGUAUGAAGAAGGCCUUAGGGUUGUAAAGUACUUUCAGUCGGGAGGCGUUACCGACAGAAGAAGCACCGGCUAACUCCGUGCCAGCAGCCGCGGUAAUUC
rnacentral:rRNA from 1 species